rnacentral:rRNA from 1 species
GAUGAACGCUGGCGGCGUGCCUAAUACAUGCAAGUCGAGCGAACAGACGAGGAGCUUGCUCCUCUGACGUUAGCGGCGGACGGGUGAGUAACACGUGGAUAACCUACCUAUAAGACUGGGAUAACUUCGGGAAGCCGGAGCUAAUACCGGAUAAUAUAUUGAACCGCAUGGUUCAAUAGUGAAAGACGGUUUUGCUGUCACUUAUAGAUGGAUCCGCGCCGCAUUAGCUAGUUGGUAAGGUAACGGCUUACCAAGGCAACGAUGCGUAGCCGACCUGAGAGGGUGAUCGGCCACACUGGAACUGAGACACGGUCCAGACUCCUACGGGAGGCAGCAGUAGGGAAUCUUCCGCAAUGGGCGAAAGCCUGACGGAGCAACGCCGCGUGAGUGAUGAAGGUCUUCGGAUCGUAAAACUCUGUUAUUAGGGAAGAACAAAUGUGUAAGUAACUAUGCACGUCUUGACGGUGCCUAAUCAGAAAGCCACGGCUAACUACGUG